UAAAGAGGAAAGAUGCAACUAACGAUCUGAACACAACAAUUGAGGUCAUUGCUUGUGCAUAACAAGUACCUUUAUUGGGACUCUUUAGUGUGCUAGAAUUUCUUUUGCUGUCUUGGUUACAUUUGUUGUUUGCAGACUGGUGAUUUGGAGGGAAUUGAAAAGUACAGCAAAAGGACUAUCAAGGUAACCAAGCAACAUAAUGAAGAUUGUAAACGUCUCUUAAGACUAAUGGGUGUGCCUACUAUUGAGGCACCCUGUGAAGCAGAAGCUCAAUGCGCAGCUCUUUG